UCACGAUCAAAUGCAAUAAUCGCGAAUAAAAUCUCGUUUUUUGACGAUGGACGGGAGAUUUCUUCAAAAAUUUCAACUUCGCUGAAUCAUACUCGUAGGUAGAUCAAAAUCAUCUAACAUAUUUCUUAGCUCAUAAUUGGGUUAGAUUUUGAAAGAUAGGAAAACGCACGUAUACAUGAAUAGUUCAAUGUUACUUAUUGAUAAAUAGAAAAGGAAAAACAAAUUUAAUCAGUAACUUUUAAUAGGUACCUACGUAUCAUGACGAUAGAUAAGUUUAAAUUUAGACUCUCUACAAUCUACAUUAUGUUGACUGCUUGUCUCCACACUUGUUACUAUUUUAGUUACUUUUUUGAGCUUUUUUGGUUACUGAAAUACGUAAAAAUGGCUUUUCGGAUGUCCGGAGGGAAGGGAAUGAGUGCGAACCGUGACUAUUUUGCAAUCCGCUUUUCGUGAAUUCCAUACAUAUGUGGAUGACCGGAUGUGGACAUUGGACAAUAGACCUUUAAAGAAAGAAAGAAAAAAAAAGGUCAACUCAGGUAGUACUUGACAGCAACCAUCGUUCACACACAAUACAGACUUGUUUGGCUGGAGGUUCAAUGUGCAAUUUGUUAUCACCUUGUUUCCUGUAAUGCAGGUGCCCAAGGAGAAACUUCGUGCUGGUGACAUCUAGUUUCCGGAUGUCUAACUACACAAUGUUCAGUUUGCAAUCGUCGUACAUACAGAACAGUCGAACAAAUCUAUCAAUCUGUACAUGUGAUUCCGCAACAGGAACAGAAGUAAAGAAAAUUAUUUUGUUUUUUGAAGAAAAAAAGUUUUAUAAAUUAAAAUCCGCGCAAAAGGAUGACUGAAUACGGCAGCAGGAUUGCGUACGCAGCACUAAUCGAAACCAUGGAAAUUGAAAAUCUAUUGAUGCCUUACAUGAUAUCUCCACUUUUCGGUCUACCGAUCUUGAGUUUAUUUUUCAACACCAAAACGCGGCUAGGAUGGUUGACAACGAACUUCAUUUUAGGCUAUUUUUUCACUCAUUCGAUGGGCAUUUCUGGUCGAAUAUGGCAGAUUGCGAGUGAAAUGAAAUCAGCGGAUCUGGAUUUCCAUUGGGUAAUGUUGCCCUGUGUUAUGACCUGUAUGGUGACAUUGACGUUCGUCAAGUUCUCUGCUGCUUUGACUAUAAUUAAGUGUAUUUGCAAGAUUGAUUUAUUGGAUCGAGGAGUUCUUCGGAUUUUCCGAAACUCAAACUUCAUCUUUUAUUGCGUUGUUCCCGGCUAUAUAAUUUUUAUCUUUUUUAAGAUCAACCUGAUCAACUACAUUGAUCCAUUUACAAUCAUGAAAAUCAUUCGAAUGGCUAGUUUACUAUUAACAAUCAUCGCCCAAAUUAGUUCAAAGAAUAAGACGUAUUCUGCAGAGUUAAUAACAUGUUGUGCAAUUAUAAAUUUUAUAGUAACCAUUUCCGAAGGUUUAAUCGUACGGUAUCUUUUAAAAAUUAAAUAUACAUAAGUACAUGUGCACAGUAUGAAAUCUCACCGUUAUUGGAUUUUUGUCAACACUGAACAUGAUGAGAAAAAAAAUCGUUUUAGUAUACCUAAACAAAAUUUAAUUGUUAUUUGAUUUUUGAAAAAAUCUUCAAGUUAACGUAACAUAUAUGUAGAAAAUGGUUUCAAAUAUGUAUUCAAUAUUUUCGAAAGUACUAAUUUUUAAUGAAGUUGGGUAUUGAAUAAAUUUUGUGAAGUUGUGUAAGAAAUCGUAACCACUCUUCAAGCUGGAAAUUUUUUCCUCCUUUUUUUUUUUUGGUAUGUUCUUUCUUAUCAUAGCCAACAUUCAUGCAUAGUUCCUGCAUACUUUGUAAUAGAUACCUGUAUAACGAUAACGAUAAGUCAUAGAUUAAGUCUGAUUGUUUGUACAUUUGUGUAAAAAAUAAAUUCAACAUAAUACAUACGUCUUGUACACAUUAA